rnacentral:rRNA from 1 species
GACGAACCGAGCGAACGUUGUUCGGAAUAACUGGGCUUAAAGGGCGCGUAGGCGGGCUGUCAAGUCAGGGGUGAAAUCCCACGGCUCAACCGUGGAAGGGCCUUUGAUACUGGCUGUCUCGAGGGAGGUAGGGGCGUGCGGAACUUCCGGUGGAGCGGUGAAAUGCGUAGAUAUCGGAAGGAACGCCGGUGGCGAAAGCGGCGCGCUGGACCUCUUCUGACGCUGAGGCGCGAAAGCCAGGGGAGCAAACGGG